rnacentral:lncRNA from 1 species
GUAAAGGACUGGGGCCCCGCAACUGGCCUCUCCUGCCCUCUUAAGCGCAGCGCCAUUUUAGCAACGCAGAAGCCCGGCGCCGGGAAGCCUCAGCUCGCCUGAAGGCAGGUCCCCUCUGACGCCUCCGGGAGCCCAGGUUUCCCAGAGUCCUUGGGACGCAGCGACGAGUUGUGCUGCUAUCUUAGCUGUCCUUAUAGGCUGGCCAUUCCAGGUGGUGGUAUUUAGAUAAAACCACUCAAACUCUGCAGUUUGGUCUUGGGGUUUGGAGGAAAGCUUUUAUUUUUCUUCCUGCUCCGGUUCAGAAGGUCUGAAGCUCAUACCUAACCAGGCAUAACACAGAAUCUGCAAAACAAAAACCCCUAAAAAAGCAGACCCAGAGCAGUGUAAACACUUCUGGGUGUGUCCCUGACUGGCUGCCCAAGGUCUCUGUGUCUUCGGAGACAAAGCCAUUCGCUUAGUUGGUCUACUUUAAAAGGCCACUUGAACUCGCUUUCCAUGGCGAUUUGCCUUGUGAGCACUUUCAGGAGAGCCUGGAAGCUGAAAAACGGUAGAAAAAUUUCCGUGCGGGCCGUGGGGGGCUGGCGGCAACUGGGGGGCCGCAGAUCAGAGUGGGCCACUGGCAGCCAACGGCCCCCGGGGCUCAGGCGGGGAGCAGCUCUGUGGUGUGGGAUUGAGGCGUUUUCCAAGAGUGGGUUUUCACGUUUCUAAGAUUUCCCAAGCAGACAGCCCGUGCUGCUCCGAUUUCUCGAACAAAAAAGCAAAACGUGUGGCUGUCUUGGGAGCAAGUCGCAGGACUGCAAGCAGUUGGGGGAGAAAGUCCGCCAUUUUGCCACUUCUCAACCGUCCCUGCAAGGCUGGGGCUCAGUUGCGUAAUGGAAAGUAAAGCCCUGAACUAUCACACUUUAAUCUUCCUUCAAAAGGUGGUAAACUAUACCUACUGUCCCUCAAGAGAACACAAGAAGUGCUUUAAGAGGUAUUUUAAAAGUUCCGGGGGUUUUGUGAGGUGUUUGAUGACCCGUUUAAAAUAUGAUUUCCAUGUUUCUUUUGUCUAAAGUUUGCAGCUCAAAUCUUUCCACACGCUAGUAAUUUAAGUAUUUCUGCAUGUGUAGUUUGCAUUCAAGUUCCAUAAGCUGUUAAGAAAAAUCUAGAAAAGUAAAACUAGAACCUAUUUUUAACCGAAGAACUACUUUUUGCCUCCCUCACAAAGGCGGCGGAAGGUGAUCGAAUUCCGGUGAUGCGAGUUGUUCUCCGUCUAUAAAUACGCCUCGCCCGAGCUGUGCGGUAGGCAUUGAGGCAGCCAGCGCAGGGGCUUCUGCUGAGGGGGCAGGCGGAGCUUGAGGAAACCGCAGAUAAGUUUUUUUCUCUUUGAAAGAUAGAGAUUAAUACAACUACUUAAAAAAUAUAGUCAAUAGGUUACUAAGAUAUUGCUUAGCGUUAAGUUUUUAACGUAAUUUUAAUAGCUUAAGAUUUUAAGAGAAAAUAUGAAGACUUAGAAGAGUAGCAUGAGGAAGGAAAAGAUAAAAGGUUUCUAAAACAUGACGGAGGUUGAGAUGAAGCUUCUUCAUGGAGUAAAAAAUGUAUUUAAAAGAAAAUUGAGAGAAAGGACUACAGAGCCCCGAAUUAAUACCAAUAGAAGGGCAAUGCUUUUAGAUUAAAAUGAAGGUGACUUAAACAGCUUAAAGUUUAGUUUAAAAGUUGUAGGUGAUUAAAAUAAUUUGAAGGCGAUCUUUUAAAAAGAGAUUAAACCGAAGGUGAUUAAAAGACCUUGAAAUCCAUGACGCAGGGAGAAUUGCGUCAUUUAAAGCCUAGUUAACGCAUUUACUAAACGCAGACGAAAAUGGAAAGAUUAAUUGGGAGUGGUAGGAUGAAACAAUUUGGAGAAGAUAGAAGUUUGAAGUGGAAAACUGGAAGACAGAAGUACGGGAAGGCGAAGAAAAGAAUAGAGAAGAUAGGGAAAUUAGAAGAUAAAAACAUACUUUUAGAAGAAAAAAGAUAAAUUUAAACCUGAAAAGUAGGAAGCAGAAGAAAAAAGACAAGCUAGGAAACAAAAAGCUAAGGGCAAAAUGUACAAACUUAGAAGAAAAUUGGAAGAUAGAAACAAGAUAGAAAAUGAAAAUAUUGUCAAGAGUUUCAGAUAGAAAAUGAAAAACAAGCUAAGACAAGUAUUGGAGAAGUAUAGAAGAUAGAAAAAUAUAAAGCCAAAAAUUGGAUAAAAUAGCACUGAAAAAAUGAGGAAAUUAUUGGUAACCAAUUUAUUUUAAAAGCCCAUCAAUUUAAUUUCUGGUGGUGCAGAAGUUAGAAGGUAAAGCUUGAGAAGAUGAGGGUGUUUACGUAGACCAGAACCAAUUUAGAAGAAUACUUGAAGCUAGAAGGGGAAGUUGGUUAAAAAUCACAUCAAAAAGCUACUAAAAGGACUGGUGUAAUUUAAAAAAAACUAAGGCAGAAGGCUUUUGGAAGAGUUAGAAGAAUUUGGAAGGCCUUAAAUAUAGUAGCUUAGUUUGAAAAAUGUGAAGGACUUUCGUAACGGAAGUAAUUCAAGAUCAAGAGUAAUUACCAACUUAAUGUUUUUGCAUUGGACUUUGAGUUAAGAUUAUUUUUUAAAUCCUGAGGACUAGCAUUAAUUGACAGCUGACCCAGGUGCUACACAGAAGUGGAUUCAGUGAAUCUAGGAAGACAGCAGCAGACAGGAUUCCAGGAACCAGUGUUUGAUGAAGCUAGGACUGAGGAGCAAGCGAGCAAGCAGCAGUUCGUGGUGAAGAUAGGAAAAGAGUCCAGGAGCCAGUGCGAUUUGGUGAAGGAAGCUAGGAAGAAGGAAGGAGCGCUAACGAUUUGGUGGUGAAGCUAGGAAAAAGGAUUCCAGGAAGGAGCGAGUGCAAUUUGGUGAUGAAGGUAGCAGGCGGCUUGGCUUGGCAACCACACGGAGGAGGCGAGCAGGCGUUGUGCGUAGAGGAUCCUAGACCAGCAUGCCAGUGUGCCAAGGCCACAGGGAAAGCGAGUGGUUGGUAAAAAUCCGUGAGGUCGGCAAUAUGUUGUUUUUCUGGAACUUACUUAUGGUAACCUUUUAUUUAUUUUCUAAUAUAAUGGGGGAGUUUCGUACUGAGGUGUAAAGGGAUUUAUAUGGGGACGUAGGCCGAUUUCCGGGUGUUGUAGGUUUCUCUUUUUCAGGCUUAUACUCAUGAAUCUUGUCUGAAGCUUUUGAGGGCAGACUGCCAAGUCCUGGAGAAAUAGUAGAUGGCAAGUUUGUGGGUUUUUUUUUUUUACACGAAUUUGAGGAAAACCAAAUGAAUUUGAUAGCCAAAUUGAGACAAUUUCAGCAAAUCUGUAAGCAGUUUGUAUGUUUAGUUGGGGUAAUGAAGUAUUUCAGUUUUGUGAAUAGAUGACCUGUUUUUACUUCCUCACCCUGAAUUCGUUUUGUAAAUGUAGAGUUUGGAUGUGUAACUGAGGCGGGGGGGAGUUUUCAGUAUUUUUUUUUGUGGGGGUGGGGGCAAAAUAUGUUUUCAGUUCUUUUUCCCUUAGGUCUGUCUAGAAUCCUAAAGGCAAAUGACUCAAGGUGUAACAGAAAACAAGAAAAUCCAAUAUCAGGAUAAUCAGACCACCACAGGUUUACAGUUUAUAGAAACUAGAGCAGUUCUCACGUUGAGGUCUGUGGAAGAGAUGUCCAUUGGAGAAAUGGCUGGUAGUUACUCUUUUUUCCCCCCACCCCCUUAAUCAGACUUUAAAAGUGCUUAACCCCUUAAACUUGUUAUUUUUUACUUGAAGCAUUUUGGGAUGGUCUUAACAGGGAAGAGAGAGGGUGGGGGAGAAAAUGUUUUUUUCUAAGAUUUUCCACAGAUGCUAUAGUACUAUUGACAAACUGGGUUAGAGAAGGAGUGUACCGCUGUGCUGUUGGCACGAACACCUUCAGGGACUGGAGCUGCUUUUAUCCUUGGAAGAGUAUUCCCAGUUGAAGCUGAAAAGUACAGCACAGUGCAGCUUUGGUUCAUAUUCAGUCAUCUCAGGAGAACUUCAGAAGAGCUUGAGUAGGCCAAAUGUUGAAGUUAAGUUUUCCAAUAAUGUGACUUCUUAAAAGUUUUAUUAAAGGGGAGGGGCAAAUAUUGGCAAUUAGUUGGCAGUGGCCUGUUACGGUUGGGAUUGGUGGGGUGGGUUUAGGUAAUUGUUUAGUUUAUGAUUGCAGAUAAACUCAUGCCAGAGAACUUAAAGUCUUAGAAUGGAAAAAGUAAAGAAAUAUCAACUUCCAAGUUGGCAAGUAACUCCCAAUGAUUUAGUUUUUUUCCCCCCAGUUUGAAUUGGGAAGCUGGGGGAAGUUAAAUAUGAGCCACUGGGUGUACCAGUGCAUUAAUUUGGGCAAGGAAAGUGUCAUAAUUUGAUACUGUAUCUGUUUUCCUUCAAAGUAUAGAGCUUUUGGGGAAGGAAAGUAUUGAACUGGGGGUUGGUCUGGCCUACUGGGCUGACAUUAACUACAAUUAUGGGAAAUGCAAAAGUUGUUUGGAUAUGGUAGUGUGUGGUUCUCUUUUGGAAUUUUUUUCAGGUGAUUUAAUAAUAAUUUAAAACUACUAUAGAAACUGCAGAGCAAAGGAAGUGGCUUAAUGAUCCUGAAGGGAUUUCUUCUGAUGGUAGCUUUUGUAUUAUCAAGUAAGAUUCUAUUUUCAGUUGUGUGUAAGCAAGUUUUUUUUUAGUGUAGGAGAAAUACUUUUCCAUUGUUUAACUGCAAAACAAGAUGUUAAGGUAUGCUUCAAAAAUUUUGUAAAUUGUUUAUUUUAAACUUAUCUGUUUGUAAAUUGUAACUGAUUAAGAAUUGUGAUAGUUCAGCUUGAAUGUCUCUUAGAGGGUGGGCUUUUGUUGAUGAGGGAGGGGAAACUUUUUUUUUUUCUAUAGACUUUUUUCAGAUAACAUCUUCUGAGUCAUAACCAGCCUGGCAGUAUGAUGGCCUAGAUGCAGAGAAAACAGCUCCUUGGUGAAUUGAUAAGUAAAGGCAGAAAAGAUUAUAUGUCAUACCUCCAUUGGGGAAUAAGCAUAACCCUGAGAUUCUUACUACUGAUGAGAACAUUAUCUGCAUAUGCCAAAAAAUUUUAAGCAAAUGAAAGCUACCAAUUUAAAGUUACGGAAUCUACCAUUUUAAAGUUAAUUGCUUGUCAAGCUAUAACCACAAAAAUAAUGAAUUGAUGAGAAAUACAAUGAAGAGGCAAUGUCCAUCUCAAAAUACUGCUUUUACAAAAGCAGAAUAAAAGCGAAAAGAAAUGAAAAUGUUACACUACAUUAAUCCUGGAAUAAAAGAAGCCGAAAUAAAUGAGAGAUGAGUUGGGAUCAAGUGGAUUGAGGAGGCUGUGCUGUGUGCCAAUGUUUCGUUUGCCUCAGACAGGUAUCUCUUCGUUAUCAGAAGAGUUGCUUCAUUUCAUCUGGGAGCAGAAAACAGCAGGCAGCUGUUAACAGAUAAGUUUAACUUGCAUCUGCAGUAUUGCAUGUUAGGGAUAAGUGCUUAUUUUUAAGAGCUGUGGAGUUCUUAAAUAUCAACCAUGGCACUUUCUCCUGACCCCUUCCCUAGGGGAUUUCAGGAUUGAGAAAUUUUUCCAUCGAGCCUUUUUAAAAUUGUAGGACUUGUUCCUGUGGGCUUCAGUGAUGGGAUAGUACACUUCACUCAGAGGCAUUUGCAUCUUUAAAUAAUUUCUUAAAAGCCUCUAAAGUGAUCAGUGCCUUGAUGCCAACUAAGGAAAUUUGUUUAGCAUUGAAUCUCUGAAGGCUCUAUGAAAGGAAUAGCAUGAUGUGCUGUUAGAAUCAGAUGUUACUGCUAAAAUUUACAUGUUGUGAUGUAAAUUGUGUAGAAAACCAUUAAAUCAUUCAAAAUAAUAAACUAUUUUUAUUAGAGAAUGUAUACUUUUAGAAAGCUGUCUCCUUAUUUAAAUAAAAUAGUGUUUGUCUGUAGUUCAGUGUUGGGGCAAUCUUGGGGGGGAUUCUUCUCUAAUCUUUCAGAAACUUUGUCUGCGAACACUCUUUAAUGGACCAGAUCAGGAUUUGAGCGGAAGAACGAAUGUAACUUUAAGGCAGGAAAGACAAAUUUUAUUCUUCAUAAAGUGAUGAGCAUAUAAUAAUUCCAGGCACAUGGCAAUAGAGGCCCUCUAAAUAAGGAAUAAAUAACCUCUUAGACAGGUGGGAGAUUAUGAUCAGAGUAAAAGGUAAUUACACAUUUUAUUUCCAGAAAGUCAGGGGUCUAUAAAUUGACAGUGAUUAGAGUAAUACUUUUUCACAUUUCCAAAGUUUGCAUGUUAACUUUAAAUGCUUACAAUCUUAGAGUGGUAGGCAAUGUUUUACACUAUUGACCUUAUAUAGGGAAGGGAGGGGGUGCCUGUGGGGUUUUAAAGAAUUUUCCUUUGCAGAGGCAUUUCAUCCUUCAUGAAGCCAUUCAGGAUUUUGAAUUGCAUAUGAGUGCUUGGCUCUUCCUUCUGUUCUAGUGAGUGUAUGAGACCUUGCAGUGAGUUUAUCAGCAUACUCAAAAUUUUUUUCCUGGAAUUUGGAGGGAUGGGAGGAGGGGGUGGGGCUUACUUGUUGUAGCUUUUUUUUUUUUUACAGACUUCACAGAGAAUGCAGUUGUCUUGACUUCAGGUCUGUCUGUUCUGUUGGCAAGUAAAUGCAGUACUGUUCUGAUCCCGCUGCUAUUAGAAUGCAUUGUGAAACGACUGGAGUAUGAUUAAAAGUUGUGUUCCCCAAUGCUUGGAGUAGUGAUUGUUGAAGGAAAAAAUCCAGCUGAGUGAUAAAGGCUGAGUGUUGAGGAAAUUUCUGCAGUUUUAAGCAGUCGUAUUUGUGAUUGAAGCUGAGUACAUUUUGCUGGUGUAUUUUUAGGUAAAAUGCUUUUUGUUCAUUUCUGGUGGUGGGAGGGGACUGAAGCCUUUAGUCUUUUCCAGAUGCAACCUUAAAAUCAGUGACAAGAAACAUUCCAAACAAGCAACAGUCUUCAAGAAAUUAAACUGGCAAGUGGAAAUGUUUAAACAGUUCAGUGAUCUUUAGUGCAUUGUUUAUGUGUGGGUUUCUCUCUCCCCUCCCUUGGUCUUAAUUCUUACAUGCAGGAACACUCAGCAGACACACGUAUGCGAAGGGCCAGAGAAGCCAGACCCAGUAAGAAAAAAUAGCCUAUUUACUUUAAAUAAACCAAACAUUCCAUUUUAAAUGUGGGGAUUGGGAACCACUAGUUCUUUCAGAUGGUAUUCUUCAGACUAUAGAAGGAGCUUCCAGUUGAAUUCACCAGUGGACAAAAUGAGGAAAACAGGUGAACAAGCUUUUUCUGUAUUUACAUACAAAGUCAGAUCAGUUAUGGGACAAUAGUAUUGAAUAGAUUUCAGCUUUAUGCUGGAGUAACUGGCAUGUGAGCAAACUGUGUUGGCGUGGGGGUGGAGGGGUGAGGUGGGCGCUAAGCCUUUUUUUAAGAUUUUUCAGGUACCCCUCACUAAAGGCACCGAAGGCUUAAAGUAGGACAACCAUGGAGCCUUCCUGUGGCAGGAGAGACAACAAAGCGCUAUUAUCCUAAGGUCAAGAGAAGUGUCAGCCUCACCUGAUUUUUAUUAGUAAUGAGGACUUGCCUCAACUCCCUCUUUCUGGAGUGAAGCAUCCGAAGGAAUGCUUGAAGUACCCCUGGGCUUCUCUUAACAUUUAAGCAAGCUGUUUUUAUAGCAGCUCUUAAUAAUAAAGCCCAAAUCUCAAGCGGUGCUUGAAGGGGAGGGAAAGGGGGAAAGCGGGCAACCACUUUUCCCUAGCUUUUCCAGAAGCCUGUUAAAAGCAAGGUCUCCCCACAAGCAACUUCUCUGCCACAUCGCCACCCCGUGCCUUUUGAUCUAGCACAGACCCUUCACCCCUCACCUCGAUGCAGCCAGUAGCUUGGAUCCUUGUGGGCAUGAUCCAUAAUCGGUUUCAAGGUAACGAUGGUGUCGAGGUCUUUGGUGGGUUGAACUAUGUUAGAAAAGGCCAUUAAUUUGCCUGCAAAUUGUUAACAGAAGGGUAUUAAAACCACAGCUAAGUAGCUCUAUUAUAAUACUUAUCCAGUGACUAAAACCAACUUAAACCAGUAAGUGGAGAAAUAACAUGUUCAAGAACUGUAAUGCUGGGUGGGAACAUGUAACUUGUAGACUGGAGAAGAUAGGCAUUUGAGUGGCUGAGAGGGCUUUUGGGUGGGAAUGCAAAAAUUCUCUGCUAAGACUUUUUCAGGUGAACAUAACAGACUUGGCCAAGCUAGCAUCUUAGCGGAAGCUGAUCUCCAAUGCUCUUCAGUAGGGUCAUGAAGGUUUUUCUUUUCCUGAGAAAACAACACGUAUUGUUUUCUCAGGUUUUGCUUUUUGGCCUUUUUCUAGCUUAAAAAAAAAAAAAGCAAAAGAUGCUGGUGGUUGGCACUCCUGGUUUCCAGGACGGGGUUCAAAUCCCUGCGGCGUCUUUGCUUUGACUACUAAUCUGUCUUCAGGACUCUUUCUGUAUUUCUCCUUUUCUCUGCAGGUGCUAGUUCUUGGAGUUUUGGGGAGGUGGGAGGUAACAGCACAAUAUCUUUGAACUAUAUACAUCCUUGAUGUAUAAUUUGUCAGGAGCUUGACUUGAUUGUAUAUUCAUAUUUACACGAGAACCUAAUAUAACUGCCUUGUCUUUUUCAGGUAAUAGCCUGCAGCUGGUGUUUUGAGAAGCCCUACUGCUGAAAACUUAACAAUUUUGUGUAAUAAAAAUGGAGAAGCUCUAAA